rnacentral:rRNA from 1 species
AUUGAACGCUGGCGGCAUGCCUUACACAUGCAAGUCGAACGGCAGCGCGGGCUUCGGCCUGGCGGCGAGUGGCGAACGGGUGAGUAACAUAUCGGAACGUGCCCUGGAGUGGGGGAUAACUAGUCGAAAGAUUAGCUAAUACCGCAUACGAUCUACGGAGGAAAGUGGGGGACCGCAAGGCCUCACGCUCGUGGAGCGGCCGAUAUCUGAUUAGCUAGUUGGGGGGUAAAAGCCUACCAAGGCCACGAUCAGUAGCUGGUCUGAGAGGACGACCAGCCACACUGGGACUGAGACACGGCCCAGACUCCUACGGGAGGCAGCAGUGGGGAAUUUUGGACAAUGGGCGCAAGCCUGAUCCAGCAAUGCCGCGUGAGUGAAGAA